AAAGUUGUAACAAGGUCUCCGUAGGUGAACCUGCAGAGAGAUCAUUAAUGAAAAUGGCCUUUGGGCCGUUAGCCCUCAAACCCGUGGAAGCAAGAUGUGCUCGGGUGCCCGGCCCCCUCAGGGGGCGGCCGCCGCAUUUAUGCUGUUUAGUGGUUGUGUCUGAAUUAGAAACUAAAAUCAAAACCUUUCAACAACGGAUCUCUUGGCUCUU
rnacentral:misc_RNA from 1 species